rnacentral:rRNA from 1 species
UUUAUGGAGAGUUUGAUCCUGGCUCAGGAUGAACGCUGGCGGCGUGCCUAAUACAUGCAAGUCGAGCGAACAGAUAAGGAGCUUGCUCCUUUGACGUUAGCGGCGGACGGGUGAGUAACACGUGGGUAACCUACCUAUAAGACUGGAAUAACUCCGGGAAACCGGGGCUAAUGCCGGAUAACAUGUUGAACCGCAUGGUUCUACAGUGAAAGACGGUCUUGCUGUCACUUAUAGAUGGACCCGCGCCGUAUUAGCUAGUUGGUGGGGUAACGGCCUACCAAGGCGACGAUACGUAGCCGACCUGAGAGGGUGAUCGGCCACACUGGAACUGAGACACGGUCCAGACUCCUACGGGAGGCAGCAGUAGGGAAUCUUCCGCAAUGGGCGAAAGCCUGACGGAGCAACGCCGCGUGAGUGAUGAAGGUCUUCGGAUCGUAAAGCUCUGUUGU